GGGGCGGAGCGGGGAGGCGGAGUUGCCCCUUCAGCCUACUUCCGGUCUGGUCUUUGAUAGAAUUUUCAUCUGAAGUUUGCGCCCUAAUUUUGACAAGUUGAAAGUCAGUCUCUCCAAAAUCGUCUUCUUGGAGUAACUAAACCUUUAGGAGUGCUGACACGAAAACCUAUUCUUGUUGCUCUGCCAAGCCUUCAGCAGGACUGCAGAGCAGGGCCAGGAGAGGUGAAAGGCGAGGUCCCGUGCACGUUCCCCCUGGGUGUGUGUCUUUCUGUUUGUACUUCAUUUUCAUUCACAUGGUUGCACUUCCCAGUUUUCCAGGAUCCCUUCUCUGGAACCAGUUAGGAAACCAGGCAAGGGUUUGUUUUGCUCCCCAAAUCCUAUCACCUCUCCAGCGCAGGACUUGCUUUCUGGACCAAAGGGAAAACGCUCGUGGUGGGCGUUUGUAAAGACCUUUUCCAAAGGUCAAGGAACACUUCUGUACCUUGGAGCCAGAAGCUUCCCAGAGUGGCUGGACGGAG
rnacentral:lncRNA from 1 species